AAGUUGUGCUCCUACCCCACACCCCAGACCUCCCACCCCAUAACUUGGGGUCCCACCCCACAAGUUGUGCUCCUACCCCACACCCCAGACCUCCCACCCCAUAACUUGGGGUCCCACCCCACAAGUUGUGCUCCCACCCCACAGCUGUGUGUCAGACCUGCACUUGGGGCAGCAGUAGAAGACGGUCUGCCCCUCGUCGGCGCUGCGCGUCUGCCCCACUCGGUACCGCAUGGCCCCGAACCCGCAGCGCCCGCAGCGCCGCUCCACCUGCGCCCCAUAAACAACUCACCCCAUAACCAACUGGCCCCAUAGCAACUGGCCCCAUAAGCAACUGGCCCCAUAGCAACUGGCCCCAUAAGCAACUGGCCCCAUAAGCAACUGGCCCCAUAGCACGCACCCCACAACCAACUCGCCCCAUAAUGAACUGACCCCAUAGC
rnacentral:lncRNA from 1 species